rnacentral:tRNA from 2 species
GCCGGGGUGGCGGAACAGGAAGACGCGCCUGACUCAAAAUCAGGUGGCCGCAAGGCCGUGCGGGUUCGACUCCCGCCCCCGGCACCU